rnacentral:rRNA from 1 species
UAUGUGUCGUCUCUCGCAUAUCAAUAAGCGGAGGAAAAGAAACUAACAAGGAUUCCCCUAGUAACGGCGAGUGAAGCGGGAAGAGCUCAAAUUUGAAAUCUUAAAGGUUUUCCCUUGACGAAUUGUAGUUUAAAGAAGUGUUUUCUGUUGAAGGUUUUGGUAAAAGUUCUUUGGAAUAGGACAUCAUAGAGGGUGAGAAUCCCGUAUUUGACCAUUAUUUUCAGCUGUGUGAUACACUUUCAAAGAGUCGGAUUGUUUGGGAAUGCAGUCCAAAAUGGGUGGUAAAUUUCAUCUAAAGCUAAAUAUUGGCGAGAGACCGAUAGCGAACAAGUACCGUGAGGGAAAGAUGAAAAGAACUUUGAAAAGAGAGUUAAACAGUACGUGAAAUUGUCAAAAGGGAAGCGUUUGACACCAGUGUUGUUUUUCUGAAAAUCAAUUAAAGAACUGUUUAUGCUAAGUUGUUUAGACUUUAUCAGCUAACUGUUUAGUUUUGAGCUUUUCUUUAAUGCACUUUUCAGUUAACAAGUCAACAUCAAUUUCUUUUGCUGUAAAAAAGCUUGAGGAAGGUGGCUUGAGAUUCGUCUUAAGUGUUUAUAGCCUCUUGCCUAUGCAGUCGGAGAGAUUGAGGUCUGCAGCGUAGAUCCUUCGGGGCUAAAUGCAUUUGUGCUAAGUUAUAGCAUUUUAUAGACAACUUGUUGACUAUGAUUUGUCUUGUAGCUUACUCGCUUAUGUUAUUUUACCUACGCUUAGGAUGUUGAUCUACAGAGCGAGAGU